rnacentral:RNase_P_RNA from 1 species
GGAGUUGACCAGACAGUCGCCGCUUCACUGCCGUCCCUUUCGGGGGAGACAGGUGGAGGGGAGGAAAGUCCGGGCUCCAUAGGGCAGGGUGCCAGGUAACGCCUGGGAGGCGCAAGCCUACGACUAGUGCAACAGAGAGCAAACCGCC